GAAAUGCGAUAAGUAAUGUGAAUUGCAGAAUUCAGUGAAUCAUCGAAUCUUUGAACGCACAUUGCGCCCCUUGGUAUUCCGGGGGGUAUGCCUGUUCGAGCGUCAUUACAACCCUCAAGCUCUGCUUGGAAUUGGGCACCGUCCUCACUGCGGACGCGCCUCAAAGACCUCGGCGGUGGCUGUUCAGCCCUCAAGCGUAGUAGAAUACACCUCGCUUUGGAGCGGUUGGCGUCGCCCGCCGGACGAACCUUCUGAACUUUUCUCAAGGUUGACCUCGGAUCAGGUAGGGAUACCCGCUGAACUUAAGC
rnacentral:misc_RNA from 1 species